AGAAGCCGAUAAGUCAUCAAAAUCAACCGUCCAAAAUCAUCACAAAGUCUUUCCGGAGUGUGUAAUAGAGAAAAACACACUCGGAUACACUCAGAAAGGUCUCCGAUGGACUAAAAUCAUCAUUGACGAAGCUGUCUCAGAAAUCGCCCCCAAAAACUUCGAUAUAGACAUCAUCCAUGACCACGAACACUCAGAAACAUGAUCGGAUCUUCUAGGAGGCUCUG
rnacentral:lncRNA from 1 species